GGUGCUGUAGCUCAGUUGGUAGAGCAUCGGACUGAAAAUCCGUGAGUCGGUGGUUCGAAUCCGCCCAGCACCACUA
rnacentral:tRNA from 3 species